rnacentral:rRNA from 1 species
GAUCAUGGCUCAGGAUGAACGCUGGCGGCGUGCUUAACACAUGCAAGUCGAGCGAAGCACUUAAGUUCGAUUCUUCGGAUGAAGACUUUUGUGACUGAGUGGCGGACGGGGUGAGUAACGCGUGGGUAACCUGCCUCAUACAGGGGGAGUAACAGUUAGAAAUGGCUGCUAAUACCGCAUAAGACCACAGUACUGCAUGGUACAGUGGUAAAAACUCCGGUGGUAUGAGAUGGACCCGCG